AUUGAACGCUGGCGGCAGGCCUAACACAUGCAAGUCGAGCGGUUGACGGGAGCUUGCUCCCUGAUUCAGCGGCGGACGGGUGAGUAAUGCCUAGGCAUCUGCCUAUUAGUGGGGGACAACGUUUCGAAAGGAACGCUAAUACCGCAUACGUCCUACGGGAGAAAGCAGGGGCCCUUCGGGCCUUGCGCUAAUAGAUGAGCCUAGGUCGGAUUAGCUGGGUGGUGAGGUAAUGGCUCACCAAGGCGACGAUCCGUAACUGGUCUGAGAGGAUGAUCAGUCACACUGGAACUGAGACACGGUCCAGACUCCUACGGGAGGCAGCAGUGGGGAAUAUUGGACAAUGGGCGAAAGCCUGAUCCAGCCAUGCCGCGUGUGUGAAGAAGGUCUUCGGAUUGUAAAGCACUUUAAGUUGGGAGGAAGGGUUGUAGAUUAAUACUCUGCAAUUUUGACGUUACCGACAGAAUAAGCACCGGCUAACUCUGUGCCAGCCGCCGCCGUAAGAC
rnacentral:rRNA from 1 species